CGUUUGAUGAAUUCAUAGUCAAACGAGGCAAACCGGGGAAACUGAAACAUCUCAGUACCCCGAGGAAAAGAAAUCAACCGAGAUUCCCCCAGUAGCGGCGAGCGAACGGGGAGCAGCCCAGAGUCAACAUCAAUAUUUACCGCAGGAGAAGGGUCUGGAAAGGCCGGCAAUAAAGGGUGAUAGCCCCGUAUCUGAAGCGGUAAGUGUUGUGAACUCGAAGAGUAGGGCGGGACACGUGUUAUCCUGUCUGAAUAUGGGGGGACCCAUCCUCCAAGGCUAAAUACUCCUGACUGACCGAUAGUGAACCAGUACCGUGAGGGAAAGGCGAAAAGAACCCCGGCGAGGGGAGUGAAAUAGAACCUAAAACCGUGUACGUACAAGCAGUGGGAGCACCCGAAAGGGUGUGACUGCGUACCUUUUGUAUAAUGGGUCAGCGACUUAUAUUCUGUAGCAAGGUUAACCGCAUAGGGGAGCCGUAGGGAAACCGAGUCUUAACUGGGCGUUAAGUUGCAGGGUAUAGACCCGAAACCCGGUGAUCUAGCCAUGGGCAGGUUGAAGGUUGGGUAACACUAACUGGAGGACC
rnacentral:rRNA from 1 species